rnacentral:tRNA from 1 species
GGUUAUAGUUUAGUUAGAACGUCUAAUUUGCACUUAGCAAGAACUUAUGUUUUCCCUUAAGUGUAACUU